AUUGAACGCUGGCGGCAGGCCUAACACAUGCAAGUCGAACGAGUGGCGGACGGGUGAGUAAUGUCUGGGAAACUGCCCGAUGGAGGGGGAUAACUACUGGAAACGGUAGCUAAUACCGCAUACCAUCGGAUGUGCCCAGAUGGGAUUAGCUUGUAGGUGGGGUAACGGCUCACCUAGGCGACGAUCCCUAGCUGGUAUGAUAGGAUGAUCAGUCACACUGGAACUGAGACACGGUCCAGCCUCCUGCGGGAGGCAGCAGUGGGGAAUAUUGGACAAUGGGCGAAAGCCUGAUCCAGCCAUGCCGCGUGUGUGAAGAAGGUCUUCGGAUUGUAAAGCACUUUAAGUUGGAAGGCGUUACCAACAGAAUAAGGACCGGCUAACUUCGUGCCAGAAGCCGCGGUAAUAC
rnacentral:rRNA from 1 species